rnacentral:rRNA from 1 species
UACGGAGGAGGCAAGCGUUAUCCGGAAUUAUUGGGCGUAAAGCGUCCGUAGGUGGGUGAGGAAGUCUGCUGUUAAAGAGUGAGGCUUAACCUCAUAAGGGCAGUGGAAACUCUUCGUCUAGAGUGCGAUAGGGGCAAGGGGAAUUCCUAGUGUAGCGGUGAAAUGCGUAGAGAUUAGGAAGAACACCGGUGGCGAAAGCGCCUUGCUGGGUCUGCACUGACACUGAGGGACGAAAGCUAGGGGAGCGAAAGGG